AUUGAACGCUGGCGGCAGGCCUAACACAUGCAAGUCGAGCGGAUGAGAGGAGCUUGCUCCUUGAUUUAGCGGCGGACGGGUGAGUAAUGCCUAGGAAUCUGCCUGGUAGUGGGGGAUAACGUUCCGAAAGGAACGCUAAUACCGCAUACGUCCUACGGGAGAAAGCAGGGGACCUUCGGGCCUUGCGCUAUCAGAUGAGCCUAGGUCGGAUUAGCUAGUUGGUGGGGUAAUGGCUCACCAAGGCGACGAUCCGUAACUGGUCUGAGAGGAUGAUCAGUCACACUGGAACUGAGACACGGUCCAGACUCCUACGGGAGGCAGCAGUGGGGAAUAUUGGACAAUGGGCGAAAGCCUGAUCCAGCCAUGCCGCGUGUGUGAAGAAGGUCUUCGGAUUGUAAAGCACUUUAAGUUGGGAGGAAGGGCAGUAAGCUAAUACCUUGCUGUUUUGACGGUACCGACAGAAUAAGCACCGGCUAACUUCGUG
rnacentral:rRNA from 1 species